CCUACGGGAGGCAGCAGUGGGGGAUAUUGCACAAUGGGGGGAACCCUGAUGCAGCGACGCCGCGUGAGUGAAGAAGUAAUUCGUUAUGUAAAGCUCUAUCAGCAGGGAAGAAUAAAUGACGGUACCUGAGUAAGAAGCCCCGGCUAACUACGUGCCAGCAGCCGCGGUAAUACGUAGGGGGCAAGCGUUAUCCGGAUUUACUGGGUGUAAAGGGAGCGUAGACGGCGAUGCAAGCCAGAUGUGAAAGCCCGCGGCUCAACUGCGGUAGUGCAUUUGGAACUGUAUGGCUGGAGUGCAGGAGAGGCAGGCGGAAUUCCUAGUGUAGCGGUGAAAUGCGUAGAUAUUAGGAGGAACACCAGUGGCGAAGGCGGCAUACCGGCGCCCAACUGACGCUGAAGCACGAAAGCGUGGGUAUCGAACAGGAUUAGAUACCCUGGUAGUC
rnacentral:rRNA from 1 species